CUGACUGCUAUCGGAUUGGUACUAAGCCAUGUGAGUCAUUGUAGCAAUACAAGGCAGACGGCUCAGUAACACGUAGUCAAUCUACCCUAUGGACGGGGAUAACCUCGGGAAACUGAGGAUAAAACCCGAUAGAUCAUAGUGCCUGGAACGGCUUAUGGUCCAAAUGAUUCGUCGCCGUAGGAUGGGACUGCGGCCUAUCAGCUUGUUGGUGAGGUAAUGGCCCACCAAGGCUAUUACAGGUACGGGCUCUGAGAGGUGAAGCCCGGAGAUGGGUACUGAGACACGGACCCAGGCCCUAUGGGGCGCAGCAGGCGAGAAACUUUUGCAAUGUGCGCAAGCACGACAAGGUUAAUCCGAGUGUUUCCUGCUAAAGGAAUCUUUUGUUAGUUUUAAAACCACUAUUGAAUAAGGGGUGGGCAAGUUCUGGUGUCAGCCGCCGCGGUAAAACCAGCACCUCAAGUGGUCAGGAGGAUUAUUGGGCCUAAAGCAUCCGUAGCCUGUUCUGUAAGUUUCCUGUUAAAUCCAUUAGCUCAACUAAUGGGCUGCCGAAAAUACUGCAGAGCUAGGGAGUGGGAGAGGUAGACGGUACUCGGUAGGAAGGGGUAAAAUCCUUUGAUCUAUUGAUGACCACCUGUGGCGAAGGCGGUCUACCAGAACACGUUCGACGGUGAGGGGUGAAAGCUGGGGGAGCAAACCGGAUUAGAUACCCGGGUAGUCCCAGCUGUAAACGAUGCAGUCUCGGUGAUGCGCUGGCUUGUGGCCAGUGCAGUGCCGCAGGGAAGCCGUU
rnacentral:rRNA from 1 species